rnacentral:rRNA from 1 species
GAUGAACGCUGGCGGCGUGCCUAAUACAUGCAAGUCGAGCGAAUGGAUUAAGAGCUUGCUCUUAUGAAGUUAGCGGCGGACGGGUGAGUAACACGUGGGUAACCUGCCCAUAAGACUGGGAUAACUCCGGGAAACCGGGGCUAAUACCGGAUAACAUUUUGAACCGCAUGGUUCGAAAUUGAAAGGCGGCUUCGGCUGUCACUUAUGGAUGGACCCGCGUCGCAUUAGCUAGUUGGUGAGGUAACGGCUCACCAAGGCAACGAGCGGUAGCCGACCUGAGAGGGUGAUCGGCCACACUGGGACUGAGACACGGCCCAGACUCCUACGGGAGGCAGCAGUAGGGAAUCUUCCGCAAUGGACGAAAGUCUGACGGAGCAACGCCGCGUGAGUGAUGAAGGCUUUCGGGUCGUAAAACUCUGUUGUUAGGGAAGAACAAGUGCUAGUUGAAUAAGCUGGCACCUUGACGGUACCUAACCAGAAAGCCACGGCUAACUACGUGCCAGCCGCCGCAGUAA